AGCUUCUUCAAUGGUUCUGCCGCGCCGUCCGUAGUUGUCGGCGCCUCCACUCCUUCCUCCUUCCCCCUGUACCGAACUCAUCCUCUUCUAGCUCGGCACGUCGUCCCCAUCUCCCGUGGCUUCUCUGUUUGAGGAUUCAAGCUGCUCGCCGUCGUGUGGUUAGUCGUCUGUGGUUCGUUUCGCCGCUCGCCGUUGUCUCUUCGUCGUCCUGCUCUCCGUCAAAGCAAUUGCUCAGACGUGAUAAUUUUCAAUCUUGCCAGCAUGAGCGAAAGGAUUCCUGGUUGCUUCGAGAGCACCUCGGCUUCUUAGUUAGUUAGCCUUGUUGAGAAGCCAUGGACUACAUGCUUGUAGGUGUAUAACAUCUCUGCUGAUUCUGAUACUGAUUGCAAUGAUGAUUCAAACCAAUUGUGGUGAUCAUUGAAAGUUGCUGGCAUGGUGGACUUCUCCAUGUGGACUAUGUAUAUUUUUUUGGAUUGUUCUAUGUUGUUUCUGCUAUGGUGUGUUUGGCACAGAAAAUCAACUGAAGAGUCUGAAGAAACUUGAAUUUCAACAUCUUCAUUUUGUGACUGUGUUCUUACCAACUAAAUCUUUGGGUUGUGUCUUGUUAUUUUGAUUUGGAUAUGUGGGAAUGUUAAGGUAUUUAUUGUUGUUGAUUUGGAACUCUUGAACUUUUAUAUAUCAUAUGGGCAAAGAUUCUUUUA